CACUACGGCGGGCCGGGUGGGGAGACCGCAAGGUCUGCCGGUGCUCCAGAGAGCCGGUUCGCCAGCCCCGCCGUCAGGCCCGCCACCUCG
rnacentral:antisense_RNA from 1 species